rnacentral:rRNA from 1 species
UUCCUACGGGACGCAGCAGUGAGGAAUAUUGGUCAAUGGUCGGGAGACUGAACCAGCCAAGCCGCGUGAGGGAGGAAGGUACAGAGUAUCGUAAACCUCUUUUGUCAGGGAACAAAGACUGGGACGCGUCCCCGGAUGAGUGUACCUGAAGAAAAAGCAUCGGCUAACUCCGUGCCAGCAGCCGCGGUAAUACGGAGGAUGCGAGCGUUAUCCGGAUUUAUUGGGUUUAAAGGGUGCGUAGGCGGACUGUUAAGUCAGCGGUAAAAGCCCGGGGCUCAACCCCGGCGAGCCGUUGAAACUGGCUG